GGACAAGAGCAAGACUUCGUCUCAAAAAUAAUAAUAAUAAGAAUAAUAAUAAUUCGAAUAAUCUAGAGAGUCAAAGAGGAAUGAGUAUGGAGAAAUGUUUUUUAUUUUCGAUAUGUUUCAAAGUGCUUUUGUCAUAUUCAGAUGGCCGUGUCAAGUAUGUGGAAAGUAAAUGUAAAAGCUUAAAACAGGUUGGGGAGGAAGAAAUAGAUUUGAGAGUCAUGUGUAUAGUGGAGUUCAAGUCACCAUAAUGGGUGAGAUUGCCAGUGGGAGUAGGUAGAGCUUGAGGAGAAAAGACCAAGGACAAACUCCAGGUUAAAUAUCUGCAGAAAGGGAGGCAGGCUGCCUUAUGCAAUCAUUUCUACCACCCCAAAAAUGCUAAUAAAAUUUUUUUUUUUUUUGAGAUAGAGUCUCACCCUGAUGUCCAGGCUGGAGUGCAAUCACUCAGUCUCGGCUCACUGCAACCUCCACCUCCUGGGUUCAGAUGCUGUUGACUGGGGCAAAGAAUAAUGGGAGAAAAACAGCUGGGUCCUAAAUAACAGAGGGAAACCAACUUUCAAUAAAGUAUUCAACAACUAAUCCACAAAGCAGAUAACUGAAAUGGAGUCUCACUCUGUCGCCCAGGCUGGAGUACAGUGGCGCAAUCUCGGCUCACUACAAACUCCGUCUCCCGGGUUCAAGCCAUUCUCCUGCCUCAGCCUCCCAAGCAGCUGGGACUACAGACGCCCCCCACCAUGCCCGGCUAUUUUUUUUUUAUUUUUUGUAGAGACGGGGUUUCACCGUGUUAGCCAGGAUGGUCUCGAUCUCCUAACCUCGUGAUCUGCCCGCCUCGGCCUCCCAAAGUGCUGGGAUUACAGGCGUGAGACACCGCGUCUGGCUAAUUAUGGUUAUUCUUAUCAUCAUCAUUUGAAAGAACAGUUGUAAAUAAAGAGAGUAAAUAAAUUAUCCUCCUUGUUCCUAAAAAGACGUUUUGUUAUAAAAGUCUUCUUUAUCAAUAAGAUGAAGUAAUGGAGGCAGGAGACAAGUGACAAUAAAAAACAGUCAUAAAAAAAGAACUGCAGAAACUAAGGUCUUAACCCAAAUUAGCAAAAGCAAAAUUGAAGCUCAAUUUUCAUUUUGGAAUAGCUCUACAAUUCCAUAAAUCUGCAAUUAAAGGUUUCUAGAUACCAAAGAGACACAAUGAAAGAGACAAAACAACAAAAAACACAUAAACACAGAUACAGAACUAGAGACUGCGACAGGUGGAGCACAUGACACAAUAGACUGACAGAGAAUAAAUCAAAAGAACAGAGAGGUGGACCAGAAAGAAAACAAGAAUUCAUGCUCUGUUUCACAGUAAUUUACGACUUCCCAAGCAGCCAGUUCUCCCAUCUCCCACUCUCCUUCCUUCCAGCUCCAUACAACUUACAUUAAAAGAUGCCAGGGCCUCAGAGACACUCUUCUCGAUGAACUCAUCAGUGAUUCUUCGGGAAGGAUGUUCAUUAAACACAGAAUUCAUUAGCGCAAUCUUUGCAGCACUCCUCCGGGCCUCAGCUUUUGUGGGGCAAAACUAGGCAGGGGAGAAAGAGUGAGAAUAUGUGUAUUUGUGCAUAUGAGAGAGAGGAAGGAACAGUGGGAGGGAAACACUUCAGAUAGAAAACACUUGGACGCUCUUUGGAUAAAUCAGUUGUGUUCAACACACUUUCCAAGGUUUUUAUGGUAAAGUGGUUGGGAUGUUUGGAAACAUAAUUUUGAUUCAACAUCCUGAAGUCAUUAAGGAACUGGGAGAGGGCUGUAGCUCAUACCAAACUGAAUGCAGAACGAGGAAGGCUGCUUAAGUCAGCAUAUAAUCACUGGUCAUGAAAAAUACCCGUUUAAACUGUCGACAGAAUUAGUUACUCAAAAGUCAGAUUCUGGCCGGCUUAAUAGAAAUCUGUAUCUUGUUCUGCGGACAGGUAAGGUUUUUUGGAUUCCUCUAGAUAACCCAAGAUUAGAACCAAAGCUGUGUCUAGGCUGCUUCUACAGAGGCCACUGGUCUCUAUCAGAAGCACCCAUCUUGGAAUCUCGGACUUCAUUUUUAGCUGUGAGCAGGCAUUUUCUCAAAUAACGUAGUGAGCCAAAGGAGCUAUCCCUGAGAAGGGUUUAAGUCUG
rnacentral:lncRNA from 1 species